rnacentral:rRNA from 1 species
AGGCUUAACACAUGCAAGUCGAGCGCCCCGCAAGGGGAGCGGCAGACGGGUGAGUAACGCGUGGGAACGUACCCUUUACUACGGAAUAACGCAGGGAAACUUGUGCUAAUACCGUAUGUGCCCUUCGGGGGAAAGAUUUAUCGGUAAAGGAUCGGCCCGCGUUGGAUUAGCUAGUUGGUGGGGUAAAGGCCUACCAAGGCGACGAUCCAUAGCUGGUCUGAGAGGAUGAUCAGCCACAUUGGGACUGAGACACGGCCCAAACUCCUACGGGAGGCAGCAGUGGGGAAUAUUGGACAAUGGGCGCAAGCCUGAUCCAGCCAUGCCGCGUGAGUGAUGAAGGCCCUAGGGUUGUAAAGCUCUUUCACCGGAGAAGAUAAUGACGGUAUCCGGAGAAGAAGCCCCGGCUAACUUCGUGCCAGCAGCCCGCGGUAAUACGAAGGGGGCUAGCGUUGUUCGGAAUUACUGGGCGUAAAGCGCACGUAGGCGGAUCGAUCAGUCAGGGGUGAAAUCCCAGGGCUCAACCCUGGAACUGCCUUUGAUACUGUCGAUCUGGAGUAUGGAAGAAGUGAAUGGAAUUCCGAGUGUAAAGGUG